GGCUAACGCUGGCGGCGUGUCUUAGCCAUGCAAGUCGAGCGGACUUAUGGGGUAACUUAUAAGUCAGCGGCGGACGGCGGAGUAACACGUAGCUAACCUACCCUCUGGACGGGGAUAACCUACCGAAAGGUGGGCUAAUACCCGAUGUAGUCAUCCUGUAUAGGGGUGAUGAAAGGUGGGCUUCUGUUUACAAGCUCAUGCUGGAGGAGGGGGCUGCGGCCUAUCAGGUAGUUGGUAGGGUAAUAGCCUACCAAGCCGACGACGGGUAGCCGGCCUGAGAGGGUGACCGGCCCGAGGGGCACUGAGAUACGGGUCCCACUCCUACGGGAGGCAGCAGGCUAGAAAUUUGGGCAAUGGGGGAAACCCUGACCCAGUGACGCCGCGUGCAGGAAGGAGCCCUUCGGGGUGUAAACUGCUGUCGUGUAGGGAGAAGGGUACUAAGGUGAACAAUCUUAGUACUUGACGGUACUACAGGAGGAAGCCCAGGCUAACCUCGUG
rnacentral:rRNA from 1 species